UCGCUGCCGUGCUGGUGAUGGGUGAAACCAUUGUGACUGUGAGGGGGAGGGGAUUCUAAAUCGGCGAUUUCUGUUUGAGAGGAGUUUGGUGCGGGUCUCCUUGGCCUUCAACGUGUAGGCUAUGAACAUAAAAUAUACUUAAAAAAUAUAAUCUGAUUUAUAAAUGGGGUGGCAACAGGGGUGGCAAGACUGUAUCCCAGGGGUGGCAGCUGCCACCCUUUGCCACCCCGUAGAUCCGCCUCUGAAUAGGAGGGUCCCAUUGUUCAUGCGCGGGGGUGCUUUCACUGGAUGCUUGAGCUUGGAGGUGAUGGAUGGAUGGAAUGGGUAGGUGACUGUUGUUAAAUAUGUUAACUGGAUACUCUGACUUCACUGACUGUACAGAUCCAAUAACAGUUCUUCCUGGAAGUAUGAUUUUGUGAUUUGUGAGAUUCUGCACGAUGAGAAUUAUUUUUGGGACCAUUCCUGACUUUACUGACACCAAGGUAUUGCAAAAUUCCAGUCCUUCAGGCCACUGCGAGUUCCUGUUGGGCUCAAAAUCAGAGUCGUAUCCUCUUUAAAAGGUAGAGCCUGUACUCGACACUCGAUUUGAAUGGAGCUACAUUUAGGCAAACUGAUUCGCUGAUGUUCUUGGCUCACUGCACUGAUGAAGAAUUUUGCCUUGAUUUUUUUUUUUAAAUGAGGGAUUGCCAUUUUUACUGCCUUGACCAACUCCUCUUUGUCUCUGGGCUCUACCUGGUCUCCUCGGCUGUGUAGCACAAUGUGUUCAAUAACGUUAAAUCAAAAAAUAGGGCAUUGCUGCUGUUUGCCUUUUAACACUAGAACGGGUAUCAGCCAUUCAUCAUCACUAGCAGUAAGUUGAAAGAGUACUUCCAGCAAACCAACAUAUGGAAUUGCUGUCCCAUUGGCUGCUUCAAGUUGCAAAGGGUCGUGUGAGUCAAUUAGCACUGUUAUCUCUUGUAACGGCACAUCUGGUGAAAUCGCAGCUAUUGUGAUCGGAUCUCUGUGUGGAUGUAUAGGCUUGGCUGUUAUCAUCUGCUUUAUUGUGAAAACUAUUCGCUUAACGUCCAGCUGGGAUGUCUUACCAAGUAUCCGACCUGCUCCCCAGCCCAGAUCGCAAGAUAUGGCAAAAGAACGCAAAGAGGAUAUGGCUUUAAAGAUGACCUCUAACCCCCAAAAAACAGAGGAACCUGCCCCUCAGCCUGAAACUUGAUUCUUAAACAUUCCAUGUGUAUCUUGCCAUUUUUGUCUUGUGAAAGAAAAUAUAUAAAUUAAAUUGUUGUCUUCUACUCAUUUCUUGGUAAAAGAUCAAGUAAUUUGGAACCCCCUUCCUGCAUCUGCACGUUUUUUCUUACCUAUUACAUCAUGGUUUAGCUGAGGGUGUAACAUAAUUGUGUGUGGUUUUCAUGUUUUGCAUUUUCUUCAUUACAUCAAUAUCAGUUAGUCUUUUUAAAAUAACCUCUUAUGACUCUGAGUUUUACUGUACAUACUACAAAUGAAUUACUAAAGUACUGAAAUUAUAUCAUGAUUGUUACUUAUGAUUAAAUGCUGUGAUUCUACUAUUGUAGGCAGAUAUGGAACAUUAUUCAAAAUGUACACUGAAAAUAAAAAAGAGCAAAUCAAACA
ensembl:lncRNA